rnacentral:rRNA from 1 species
UACGAAGGGUGCAAACGUUGCUCGGAAUUAUUGGGCGUAAAGCGCACGUAGGCGGCUUUGUAAGUCGGAUGUGAAAUCCCUCGGCUUAACCAAGGAAGUGCAUCCGAAACUACAGAGCUUGAGUACUUAAGAGGAUCGCGGAAUUCCCGGUGUAGAGGUGAAAUUCGUAGAUAUCGGGGAGGAACACCAGUGGCGAAGGCGGCGAUCUGGGAAGAUACUGACGCUGAGGUGCGAAAGCGUGGGGAGCAAACAGG